ensembl:misc_RNA
AUGAAAGCCCUGGAAACUAAAAUCUCCAGCAGCAUAGGUAGUAGUAUUGCAUACUUGUCCAUAUUGCCCUAUUCAUGUGCUUUAACCAUGAUCUGGAGGAAGAACUUGUAGGGGUGAGGAGGUAGUUCAGUCUCCUUGGUCCAUUCAGUCCUUGUGUCUGU